rnacentral:rRNA from 1 species
CCUACGGGAGGCAGCAGUGAGGAAUAUUGGUCAAUGGACGGAAGUCUGAACCAGCCAUGCCGCGUGCAGGAUGAAGGCCUUCGGGUUGUAAACUGCUUUUAUAAGCGAGAAAUAUGAUGGUAACUUAUGAAUAAGGAUCGGCUAACUACGUGCCAGCAGCCGCGGUCAUACGUAGGAUCCGAGCAUUAUCCGGAGUGACUGGGUGUAAAGAGUUGCGUAGGUGGCAUAAUAAGUAGCUAGUGAAAUCUGGUGGCUCAACCAUUCAGACUAUUAGCUAAACUGUUAAGCUCGAGACCGUUAGGGGUAACUGGAAUUUCUAGUGUAGGAGUGAAAUCCGUAGAUAUUAGAAGGAACACCAAUAGCGUAGGCAGGUUGCUGGGACGGUUCUGACACUAAGGCACGAAAGCGUAGGGAGCAAACGGGAUUAGAUACCCGUGUAGUC